rnacentral:tRNA from 1 species
UGGGGAUUGGCCAAGUGGUAAGGCACCGGGUUCUGGUCCCGAGAUCGGGGGUUCGAAUCCCUCAUCCCCAGCCA